AUGCUAUGAUGAGGACAUCUUCUGAGCAACUCUUUAAAUAUCUCUCAAGCCUCAUACAAGCUCUCAUCUUCAAGUUGGUGAAAAGAGGUGAUCUCAUUCCGCAAUUU
rfam:Citrus sinensis cultivar Ridge Pineapple sweet orange scaffold00155_contig_38, whole genome shotgun sequence.